rfam:Candidatus Burkholderia kirkii strain TZHbot2 BPTNctg109, whole genome shotgun sequence.
CCGCACGCGUCGGGAGAGCGCGUGGCCGCCGCUUGUCAGCACGACAGCGAAAGCCGCGCCGCCGAAGGGGCAUACCCGCAAACUCUCAGGCAAAAGGACCGACGGCGUCGA